rnacentral:misc_RNA from 1 species
CUUUCAAAUAUUUUUGUACCUGAAAGUUAUCAUUAUUUGUCAAAUUCAAUAUGCAGAGCUCUUGAGAAAUGUCCAUUAUAUAUUUGGUUUAUCAUAAUAUUAAUUUAUUGUGAAAUGUUGAAUAAAUUUAUGGCAUGUCAUAUAUAUGGUAAUGUUCACAAAAUGUGUCUACAAAAGGUAUUUUGUAGAUAAAUAUCAAAAGACUCAUAGAUGUCCAAAACAAAGGUUAAAGACCUCCAAUCAAAGGCUCUUAAGCCAUUGAAGACCACUGGAGAUAGAUAGGGACAACCCCUAAAGGCUACGAGCCUCGAACAAUCUCCAAGGCCAUAAUAGUGGCCCUCAAGCCCUUGGCCAUGCCAAAGGAUGACCCCUGAGGGCUUAGAAGCCUCAAAGAAUCUCCAAAAUAAGGGAUAACCCCUAAAGGUUACGAGCUUAGAAGAAUCUCUAAGGUCAAAAGAGUGGCCUUCAAGCCCUUGGCCACGCUAAGGGACAAACACUAAAGGCGACGAGCAUAAAAAAAUCUCUAAGGCCGGAAGAGUGGCUCUCGAGCCCUUGGCCAUGGCAAGGGACAACCGUUGAGGGCUUAGAAACCUCAAAGAAUCUCUAGAUAGGGGACCACCCCUUGAGCUUCUUAAGGCACCUUGAUGGGGCACUAUCCCCUGAGCCUCUUAAGUCACCCUGUUGGGGGACCACCCAUUGAGUCUCUUAACGCACCCUGAUGGGAUUUUAAUCCCCGAGCUUCUCAAGGGAUGAAGAUUGAAGCCAAGCUUUUUAACUCUUAAGCCCCGAGGCCCCAUAUGUAGAGCCCUUCAGCUUCAGGCCCUAAGGUCCCACAUUUAGAGCUUUGACUUUUAGGCUCCUGAGACCCCAUAUUUAGAGCCUUUCAACUUUAGGCCUCAAGGCCCCACAUAUAGAGCCCUUCAUCUUUAGGCCUCCCGAGGUCCCGUGUGCAGAGCCAUGAACUCCUAAAGAGAAAAGGCUAUAUUUCUAUUAAAAUUAUUUUCAAUUAUCUAUAUUUCUCAUGUUAAGCUAACUUUCUCUAUGAUAGAUUCACAUAUGAAGCUAUAAGCCAUGAAGAAGGGCUCUAAGCCCUGAUGACAAGCUCUUAAAAUUCAUGGCCAUAGGCCUUCAACUAUAGAGCCAUGAGCUCCUAAAACUAAAGUUACAUUUUAUUGAAAUUGUUUUAAAAUUAGUAAGUUAAAUAUUUCCUUCAUGAUAUACUUGCAUAAAGAGGCCAAAGAGCCUCAAGAGCUAAAAGCUCCACAAUUAAAAAUUGAAGAGUUAAAAAAAAGAAAGGAAAAAUGAGGAUAGAAAUCGACUACUCUAAGACACAAGCCAUAAAUAUCUUAUGCUUAGAGUAGGGGACAUUUCCUAAAUUAAAAGAAUUGUUUUACAAAUUAUUAAAGACCUCUAGAUUUAAGAACUAGUAUUUCAAUAUUAGAAGCUGAAGAGAAUUUGUAAAACAUAAGAUUCAACAUAAAAAGUGUCCGUCAAGUGAUGAGGGUGCUCUUGUAAGAAUAAGAAAAUCCUUAUGAAGGCUAAAGUACCCUUCUAAGGGUAAAAGUGCCCUUUAAAGGCCAAUAUUAAAGGUUUAACGGUUAGAGCUGUAAGCUCUAAAGACUGUGACACAUUCAAAAAUAAAAGGAAACAAAUAAUAAAGAUUAAAUUUUAUGUUCUUUAAAUCUAAUAGAUAGAACUCUUGUUAGCAGAGCUAUGAGCUCCAUAUAAUUCAACGUUUAUUUUAUUAGUUAGUUCUAUGACUUUACACUGUUAAUGAUAUAUCAUUUUCAGUCUCAAAAGGGCCAAAAAGAUAUAAAUUGAAUACCUUAUAAGUCGAAUCCAUCUCUUUAUAUAACUCUGUUUGUGAUUAUGUUAAAUGCCAUCUUUUCUUUGAUGAAAGAAAGAGCCCUAGGGUUGUCUUUGUGGGUUUGAUGAGUAGGAGAUGACCUCCAGUAGUCGUAGUCAUUCAGGGUGAGCACUUGCUAGUCAUCCAGGCGGAGUACUUGCUAGUCGUCCAGGUUGAUACUUGUUAGUCAUCCAAACUGAGUACUUACAAGUCAUCCAGGCCAAGCACUUACUGAUUGUCCAAGAUAAACACUCGCAAGUCAGGGUCCUUUCGACACCUCGUCGUGGAAAAUAAUGUAAAGAGCUGCUUGACCUGCAGACAUGCUAUGUCAAUGGUGAGGAGGUCCAUUAUGUGUUUGAUCAUGGUUUUGCUUGUAACUACGAGCGUGCCACUGGAGGUCGAGGUCAAAGAACUCGUCCCUUAAGAAUUUUUGAAACCUGAUCGGCUAGCACAAUUGUAUAAAAAAGUCGUAUCUGCAUAUAAAUUGGCCUUCGAGGAAGAAAGUAGCCUGUAAUUGAGAGGCUUUUGUUUUAUUAUAUUUACUUAAGUUGCCACUUUUUAAUUGCUGCUAUGCUUUUGCUAAAAUGUUGCAAAACAUCAUCUUGGUUUUAUUAAGGACUCAUGAGUCUUGUCAUCUGUUUACAUGAUCCUUUUAUUUCAAAAUGCCACCUGUCUCAUUUUAUGAAGAG